CAUUUCUUCCUAUUCACUCGCGCGCACAGUACAGAGGAGUACAGUGUUAUUUUUUUUCCCGUUUUUUUGUUUUAAUUUUUUUUUUUGUAUAAAAACGACUGCAUUAUAAUGGCCACUUGUAAUUCUGAUCAUACUAGCCAACAUUUGCAAUAUAAUGUUUCCACAAGCUCUCCCCAAUUAAGGCAUGUUAGCACAGGUACGAAGACAGUGUGAAAAAUUACAAUGUGGGCAUACUUUUUCAUGCUGGAAGAGUGCGGAUGUAUGUGUGUCUUCCUUCAUCUAAGAUGACCACCCCUUCCCUUCCUCCCGAAGGAAGAGGCAUUAACCCCAACCUGUCCACCUGCCGAGAGUCUCAGUGCAACAAUCAUGGUAACUGUGUGACUCCUACGGGUGGUGGUACAGAUCUAGCAUGUAACUGUGAUCUGGGCUACAAGGGUGACUCCUGCGAGGACACGAUCAAUGGGGCAUUAAGUGUACCUUUGACCCUGAGCGUGUUUGCUGUCCUCGUUGGCCUGGUGAUCCUGGCCUUCAUCGCUGCCAAGUUCCGGCAGAAACAAAAGAAGAAGCGAAGGAAACUACUGGAAGAAAAAGUCUACAGCAAUACUGCAUAA
rnacentral:lncRNA from 1 species